CGAACGCUGGCGGCGUGCCUAAUACAUGCAAGUAGAACGCUGAAGGAGGAGCUUGCUUCUCUGGAUGAGUUGCGAACGGGUGAGUAACGCGUAGGUAACCUGCCUGGUAGCGGGGGAUAACUAUUGGAAACGAUAGCUAAUACCGCAUAAGAGUAGAUGUUGCAUGACAUUUGCUUAAAAGGUGCAAUUGCAUCACUACCAGAUGGACCUGCGUUGUAUUAGCUAGUUGGUGAGGUAACGGCUCACCAAGGCGACGAUACAUAGCCGACCUGAGAGGGUGAUCGGCCACACUGGGACUGAGACACGGCCCAGACUCCUACGGGAGGCAGCAGUAGGGAAUCUUCGGCAAUGGACGGAAGUCUGACCGAGCAACGCCGCGUGAGUGAAGAAGGUUUUCGGAUCGUAAAGCUCUGUUGUAAGAGAAGAACGAGUGUGAGAGUGGAAAGUUCACACUGUGACGGUAUCUUACCAGAAAGGGACGGCUAACUAC
rnacentral:rRNA from 1 species